UUAGGUGUUUUCAUGGAAACGUUAAAAUUGGAGAGUAUAUUUGGGUUGUGAGUUAAGUUGAAGCUUUUAAACGCUAGCGGUAUUUUUGUUAGGUUCUUAAAAUUUAAUAUUGGUGAGGUUUCAGUUUAAUGUUUUGAAUUGAAAGGUAAUAUUGCUUAGGUUGUCUGUGUUUGGUUGGAUCUAUCCACAGUCGGCAUAUUGAGUAUCAAUUGGUAAAUUUAUUUUUAAUAUUAAAUCUCUCCACUCUCUAUUUGACAUUUUUAUCAUAAAACCUACUAAGUCAAAACUAAUGCACAUUUUUUUCUAAUGCACUUUUUUUUUAUUCUACUGUAUAAAUAAGUUUAGAUAAUAAAUGUUUUUUAUAUUAUAAUGAGAAAUAACAAAGAUCUCAAAAGGUCUAAUAUGAUAUCCAUAAUAGAAUACCACUCACUAUUCUAACAUCAAGAUAUUAAUAAAGUGCCACUUAAAUACUUUCCUUCCUCUCAAUUAAACAUUACCUUAGUUGUAACUAAUUAUUAGUUUUUAUAUAAAAAAUAAUAAUUAAUAACUUAAAAAGUAAUAUAAUCAAUAGAAUUAAUUACUUGACUUUACUUGUAUAUUAUUUAUGAAGGAUGAUAAAAUUAAGGCCGUUGAUAAAAUAAAGUAUAUAUAUGAGACAAACAAAUUUAGAUAUCCAAUAAUUAAUCAAAUUAUUUUCUGAAUACCCGUUUAUUAUUCGGAUCAAAAAUAAACAUAAUGUUAUAUUUUUGCAAUUUUUAUUUUUAUGCGUAUACUUUUCUACUAUCCCAUUUAAUAUUUACAAAAAUUUAAAGGAGAAAGUGGAAUACAAGUUAGGUGUUUUCAUGGAAACUUAAAAUGGAGAGUUAUUUGGGUUGUGAGUUAAGUUGAAGCUUUUAAACGCUAGCGGUAUUUUUGUUAGGUUCUUAAAAUUUUAAUAUUGGUGAGGUUUCAGUAAUUUUUUUGAAUGAAAGGUAAUAUUGCUUAGGUUGUCUGUGUUUGGUUGGAUCUAUCCACAGUCGGCAUAUUGAGUAUCAAUUGGUAAAUUUAUUUUUAAUAUUAAAUCUCUCCACUCUCUAUUUGACAUUUUAUCAUUAAACCUACUAAGUCAAAACUAAUGCACAUUUUUUUCUAAUGCACUUUUUUUUUUCUAUUCUACUGUAUAAAAUAAGUUUAGAUAAUAAAUGUUUUAUUAUAUUAUAAUGAGAAAUAACAAAGAUCUCAAAAGGUCUAAUAUGAUAUCCAUAAUAGAAUACCACUCACUAUUCUAACAUCAAGAUAUUAAUAAAGUGCCACUUAAAUACUUCUCCUUCCUCUCAAAUAAACAUUACCUUAGUUGUAACUAAUUAUUAUUUUAUAUAAUAAAUAAUAAUUAAUAAUUAAAAAAGUAAUAUAAUCAAUAGAAUUAAUUACUUGACUUUACAUUGUAUAUUAUUUAUGGAAGGAUGACUAAAAUCAGGCCGUUGAUAAAAUAAAGUAUAUAUAUGAGACAAACAUUUAGAUACCCAAUAUUUAAUCUAAUUAUUUCUAUGAAUACCGUUUUUUAUUCGGAUCAGAAAUAAACCUAAUGUUAUAUUUUUAUGAAUUUUAUAUGUUUAUACGUAUACUUUUCUCCUAUCCCAUUUAAUAUUUACAAAAAUUUAAAAGAGAAAGUGGACUACAAGUUAGAUGUUUUCAUGGAAACAUUAAAAUUGGGAUUAUAUUUGGGUUGUGAGUUACAGUUGAAGCUUUUAAACGCUAGCGGUAUUUUUGUUAGGUUCUUAAAAUUUAAAUAUUGGUGAGGUUCAGUUUAAUGUUUGAAUUGAAAGGUAAUAUUGCUUAGGUUGUCUGUGUUUGGUUGGAUCUAUCUCACAGUCGGCAUAUUGAGUAUCAAUUGGUAAAUUUAUUUUUAAUAUUAAAUCUCUCCACUCUCUAUUUGACAUUUUUAUCAUAAAACCUACUAAGUCAAAACUAAUGCACAUUUUUUUCUAAUGCACUUUUUUUUCUAUCUACUGUAUAAAAUAAGUUUAGAUAAUAAAUGUUUUAUUAUAUUAUAAUGAGAAAUAACAAAGAUCUCAAAAGGUCUAAUAUAUAUCCAUAAUAGAAUACCACUCACUAUUCUAACAUCAAGAUAUUAAUAAAGUGCCACUUAAAUACUUCUCCUUCCUCUCAAUUAAACAUUACCUUAGUUGUAACUAAUUAUUGUUUUAUAUAAUAAAUAAUAAUUAAUAAUUAAAAAGUAAUAUAAUCAAUAGAAUUAAUUACUUGACUUUACAAUUGUAUAUUAUUUAUGGAAGGAUGAUAAAUAUCAGGCCGUUGAUAAAUAAAGUAUAUAUAUGAGACAAACAAAUUUAGAUAUCCAAUAAUUAAUCUAAUUAUUCUCUGAAUACCCGUUUAUUAUUCGGAUCAAAAAUAAACAUAAUGUUAUAUUUUUAUGCAAUUUUAUAUUUUUAUGCGUAUACUUUUCUACUAUCCCAUUUUUAAUAUUUACAAAAAUUUAAAAGAGAAAGUGGAAUACAAGUUAGGUGUUUCCAUGGAAACGUUAAAAUUGGAGAGUAUAUUUGGGUUGUGAGUUAAGUUGAAGCUUUUAAACGCUAGCGUAUUUUUGUUAGGUUCUUAAAAUUUAAUAUUGGUGAGGUUUCAGUUUAAUUUUUUUGAAUUGAAAGGUAAAUUGCUUAGGUUGUCUGUGUUUGGUUGGAUCUAUCCACAGUCGGCAUAUUGAGUAUCAAUUGGUAAAUUUAUUUUAAUAUUAAAUCUCUCCACUCUCUAUUUGACAUUUAAUCAUUAAACCUACUAAGUCAAACUAAUGCACAUUUUUUUCUAAUGCACUUUUUUUCUAUUCUACUGUAUAAAAUAAGUUAUAGUAUAAUAAAUUUUAUUAUAUUAUAAUGAGAAAUAACAAAGAUCUCAAAAGGUCUAAUAUAAUCCAUAAUAGAAUACCACUCACUAUUCUAACAUCAAGAUAUUAAUAAAGUGCCACUUAAAUACUUCUCCUUCCUCUCAAUUAAACAUUACCUUAGUUGUAACUAAUUAUUAGUUUUAUAUAAUAAAUAAUAAUAUAAUUAAAAAGUAAUAUAAUCAAUAGAAUUAAUUACUUGACUUUACAAUUGUAUAUUAUUUAUGGAAGGAUGAUAAAAUUAGGCCGUUGAUAAAAUAAAGUAUAUAUAUGAGACAAACAAUUUAGAUACCCAAUAUUUAAUCUAAUUAUUCUAUGAAUACCCGUUAUUUAUUCGGAUCAAAAAAUAAACCUAAUGUUAUAUUUUUAUGCAAUUUUAUAUUUAUACGUAUACUUUUCUACUAUCCCAAUUUUAAUAUUUACAAAAAUUUAAGGAAAGUGGACUACAAGUUAGAUGUUUUCAUGGAAACAUUAAAAUUGGAGAGUAUUUUUGGGUUGUGAGUUAGUUGAAGCUUUAAAACGCUAGCGGUAUUUUGUUAGGUUCUUAAAAUUAAAUAUUGGUGAGGUUCAGUUUAAUGUUUUGAAUUGAAAGGUAAUAUUGCUUAGGUUGUCUGUGUUUGGUUGGAUCUAUCCAAGUCGGCAUAUUGAGUAUCAAUCUUGGUAAAUUUAUUUUUAAUAUUAAAUCUCUCCACUCUCUAUUUGACAUUUUUAUCAUAAAACCUACUAAGUCAAAACUAAUGCACAUUUUUUUUCUAAUGCACUUUUUUUUCUAUUCUACUGUAUAAAAUAAGUUUAGAAUAUAAAGGUUUUAUUAUAUUAUAAUGAGAAUAACAAGAUCUCAAAAGGUCUAAUAUAUAUCCAUAAUAGAAUACCACUCACUAUUCUAACAUCAAGAUAUAUAAAAGUGCCACUUAAAUACUUCUCCUUCCUCUCAAAUAAACAUUACCUUAGUUGUAACUAAUUAUUAGUUUUAUAUAAUAAAUAAUAAUUAAUAAUUAAAAAGUAAUAUAAUCAAUAGAAUUAAUUACUUGACUUUACUAUUGUAUAUUAUUUAUGGAAGGAUGAUAAAAUUCAGGCCGUUGAUAAAAUAAAGUAUAUAUAUGAGACAAAACAAUUUAGAUCCCAAUAUUUAAUCUAAUUAUUUCUAUGAAUACCCGUUAUUUAUUCGGAUCAAAAUAAACCUAAUGUUAUAUUUUUAUGCAAUUUUAUAUGUUAUACGUAUACUUUUCUACUAUCCCAAUUUUAAUAUUUACAAAAAUUUAAAAGAGAAAAGUGGAUACAAGUUAGUGUUUUCAUGGAAACAUUAAAAUUGGAGAGUAUAUUUGGGUGGUGAGUAAGUUGAACUUUUAACAUUAACGGUAUUUUGUUAGGUUCUUAAAUUUAAUAUUGGUGAGGUUUCAGUUUAAUGUUUUGAAUUGAAAUAAUAUUGCUAGGUUUUCUGUGUUUGGGUUGGAUCUAUUCACAGUCGGCAUAUUGAGUAUCAAUUGGUAAAUUUAUUUUUAAUAUUAAAUCUCUCCACUCUCUAUUUGACAUUUUUAUCAUAAACCUACUAAGUCAAAACUAAUGCACUUUUUUUUCUAAUGCACUUUUUUUUUCUAUUCUAUCUGUAAUAAAUAAGUUUAGAUAAUAAAGGUUUUUUUAUUAAUAAUGAGAAAUAAAGAUCUCAAAAGGUCUAAUAUAAUAUCCAUAAUAGAAUACCACUCACUAUUCUAACAUCAAGAUAUUAAUAAAGUCCACUUAAAUACUUCCCUUCCUCUCAAAUCAAACAUUACCUUAGUUGUAACUAAUUAUUAUUUUUAUAUAAUAAUAUAAUAAUAAUUAAAAAGUAAUAUAAUCAAUAAAUUAAUUACUUGACUUUACUAUUGUAUUUAUUUAUGGAAGGAUGAGUAAAAUCAGGCCGUUGAUAAAAUAAAGUAUAUAUAUGAGACAAACAAAAUUAGAUAUCCAAUAAUUAAUCUAAUUAUUUCUCUGAAUACCCGUUAUUAUCGGAUCAAAAAUAACAUAAUGUUAAUUUUAUGCAAUUUUAUAUUUUUAUGCGUAUACUUUUCUACUAUCCCAAUUUUAAUAUUUACAAAAAUUUAAAAGAGAAAGGUGGAAACAAGUUGGUGUUUUCAUGGAAACUAAAAUUGGAGAGUAUUUUUGGGUUGUGAGUUAGUUGAAGCUUUUAAACGCUAGCGGUAUUUUUGUUAGGUUCUUAAAAUUUAAUAUUGAUGAGGUUUCAGUUUAAUGUUUUGAAUUGAAAGGUAAUAUUGCUUAGGUUGUCUGUGUUUGGUUGGAUCUAUUCACAGUCGGUAUAUUGAGUAUCAAUUGGUAAAUUUAUUUUUAAUAUUAAAUCUCUUCACUCUCUAUUUGAUAUUUUUAUCAUAAAACCUACUAAGUCAAAACUAGUGCACAUUUUUUUUUCUAAUGCACUUUUUUUUUCUAUUCUACUGUAUAAAAUAAGUAUAGAUAAUAAAGGUUUUAUUAUAUUAUAAUGAGAAAUAACAAAUAUCCCAAAAGGUCUAAUAUAAUAUCCAUAAUAGAAUACCACUCAAUAUUCUAACAUCAAGAUAUUAAUAAAGUCCCACUUAAAUACUUCUCCUUCCUCUCAAAUCAAACAUUACCUUAGUUGUAACUAAUUAUUAUUUUUAUAUAAUAAAUAAUAAUUAAUAAUUUAAAAAGUAAUAUAAUCAAUAGAAUUAAUUAUGUAUGAGCAUGCUCACUAUUCUUCUUAUCAUCAAAGAAUCCAUUGAUAUUAAUAACGUGUCCUGAUACGCAAUUAUGCAUAUUCCUACCUGUUGCCUGCUCAUACAUCGCUAUACAUAUAUGCGUCUAUGCUUGUUGCUUACGAGCUUAAUUGAGUUUGUGAUAAUAUAUUCAUAACUGCAAUACUUAAAUAACUACUUAUAUACAGAGACUUGCAAUAUAAUCAAUAGAAAUAAUUUACACUUGUGGACGUUUUGAUCUAUUGUUAUAUGCUAUUUAUGGUUAAGAGGAUGAGUUAAAAUCAGACGAUCCUGUGGAUAAAAUACCAGUAUAUCUAUAAUGUGAUGGCACAAUAAUCAAAGCAAUAGUUUAUAGACAAUAUCUCUCGAGAUCACCAUUUCUCAUAGACUAUACUUGUCUCGAUUAACUUUCAGAUCGCUGAAUUUUAGCCCGUUUACUUAGUUCGAGAGUCACCAAAUACACAGGAGUCUAUAUUGUGUGGUGAUUUUUUGAUGCGACCUAGCAAUUUAUACUUCUCUAUUAUCCAACCUUAUAUCUCCUCAACUCUCUCUCGAAUUGAUUUACUCUCGCGCAGAAAAUUUAAGAGAAAGUGGGUACAAGUUAGGUGUUUUCAUGGAAAUUAAAAUUGGAGAGUUUAUUGUGGUUGUGAGUUAAGUUGAAGCUUUUAAUUGCGCGCUUUAACCUGCUUCCAAGCGAAGUAUUUUUUAGUUAGGUUCUCUCCACGUUUCUACUAUGCCUAGACUGCGUCUCCAAGAUUUUCAGAUUGUUGUUGCAAUUUGCUGAAAUUGAACAGGAUAAAUUAGUUGCUCCUAGGUUGUCUGUUGUUACCAUAUGGUUGUGGUUACGUACACUCAUAUAACCACCAAGUAGACCUAUUCCAUCCAUCAUUGAUUGAGUAGCAUCAAUCGAAAUUUUCUGCGUCAAGUCUUCUUUAUUUUUUAUAUUAAAUAUAUAUAUUCUGACACCAAAACUAAGCGUUUAUCAUAUUAACAUAACUCUUAAUAUACUCUAUUACGGUACUCACUUUGUACAGUAUGCAUUAUAUUUCUUCAAUGAGUUUUCAAUUUUUCAUAUACCUAUACUCUUGAGGUGUGAUUGAUUUACAGAUUCUCAGGCAUAUACAAUGCUAUUCCUUUCAAUUCUUGUAUUAAUACUUGUAUCAUUGAAUAGGGUUGUUAGGAUCACAAACUUACAUAGGUAUGUUCUCUCAGAAAUAGGGUCUUCAAUUCAUGUGCUCAAUUCAAUGAACGCACCUAUAAUUCAGUGCCUUUGAAUACUUCUGUUUUAAACCUUCUUCGAGGAAUGCAUUUACACUCCACCGAAUCCACAUAUGAAUGAGGGCCUCUCAAAUCAAACAUUACCUUAGUUGUAACUAAUUAUUAUUUUUAUAUAAUAAAUAAUAAUUAAUAAUUUAAAAAGUAAUAUAAUCAAUAGAAUUAAUUACUUGACUUUACUAUUGUAUAUUAUAUAUGGAAGGAUGAGUAAAAUCAGGCCGUUGAUAAAAUAAAGUAUAUAUAUGAGAAACAAAUUUAGAUAUCCAAUAAUUAAUCUAAUUAUUUCUAUGAAUACCCGUUUAUUAUUCUGAUCACAAAUAAACCUAAUGUUAUAUUUUUAUGCAAUUUUAUAUUUUUAUGCGUAUACUUUUCUACUAUCCCAAUUUUAAUAGUUACAAAAAUUUAAAAGAGAACGCAAAGUACAAGUUAGGUGUUUUCAUGGAAACAUUAAAAUGAGAGAGUAUAUUUGGGUUCUGAGUUAAUUUGAAGCUUUUAAACGCUAGCUGUAUUUUUGCUAGGUUCUUAAAAUUUAAUAUUGAUGAGGUUUUAGUUUAAUGUUUUGAAUUGAAAGGUAAUAUUCUUAGGUUGUCUGUGUUUGGUUGGAUCUAUUCACAGUCAGCAUAUUGAGUAUCAAUUGGUAAAUUUAUUUUUAAUAUUAAAUCUCUUCACUCUCUAUUUGACAUUUUUAUCAUAAAACCUACUAAGUCAAAACAAAUGCACAUUUUUUUCUAAUGCACUUUUUUUUUUCUAUUCUACUGUAUAAAAUAAGUUUAGAUAAUAAAGGUUUUAUUAUAUUAUAAUGAGAAAUAACAAAGAUCUCAAAACGUCUAAUAUAAUAUCCAUAAUAGAAUACCACUCACUAUUCUAACAUCAAGAUAUUAAUAAAGUGCAACUUAAAUACUUCUCCUUCCUCUUAAAUCAAACAUUAAAUUAGUUGUAACUAAUUAUUAUUUCUAUAUAAUAAAUAAUAAUUAAUAAUUUAAAAAGUAAUAUAAUCAAUAGAAUUAAUUACUUGAUUUUACUAUUGUAUAUUAUUUAUGGAAGGAUGAGUAAAAUCAGGCCGUUGAUAAAAUAAAGUAUAUAUAUUAGACAAACAAAUUUAGAUAUCCAAUAAUUAAUCUAAUUAUUUCAAUGAAUACCCGUUUUUACUAUUGUAUAUUAUUUAUGAAAGGAAUGAGUAAAAUCAGGUCGUUGAUAAUAUAAGUAUAUAUAUGAGACAAACAAAUUUAGAUAUCCAAUAAUUAAUCUAAUUAUUCUCUGAAUACCCGUUUAUAUUCGGAUCAAAAAUAAACAUAUGUUUAUAUUUUAUGCAAUUUUAUAUUUUUAUGCGUAUACUUUUCUCUACCCAAUUUUAAUAUUUACAAAAUUUAAAAGAGAAAGUGGAAUACAAGUUAGGUGUUUUCAUGGAAACGUUAAAAUUGAGAGGUAUAUUUGGGUGUGAGUUAACGUUGAGCUUUAAACGCUAGCGGUAUUUUGUUAGGUUUUAAAAUUCAAUAUUGGUGGGUUCAGUUUAAUGUUUUGAUUGAAAGUAAUAUAUGCUUAGGUUGUCUGUGUUUGGUUGGAUCUAUCCACAGUCGGCAUAUUGAGUAUCAAUUGGUAAUUAUUUUUAAUAUUAAAUCUCUCCACUCUCAUAUGACAUUUUUAUCAUAAAACCUACUAAGUCAAAACUAAUGCACAUUUUUUUUCUAAUGCACUUUUUUUUCUAUUCUACUGUAUAAAUAUUUAGAUAAUAAAUGUUUAUUAUAUUAUAAUGAGAAAUAACAAAGACUCUCAAAGGUCUAAUAUAUAUCCAUAAUAGAAUACCACUCACUUCAACAUCAAGAUAUUAAUAAAGUGCCACUUAAAUACUUCUCCUUCCUCUCAAAUUAAACAUUACCUUAGUUGUAACUAAUUUAGUUAAUAUAAUAAAUAAUAAUUAAUAACUUAAAAAGUAAUAUAAUCAAUAGAAUUAAUUACUUGACUUUACAAUUGUAUAUUAUUUAUGGAAGGAUGACUAAAAUUAGGCCGUUGAUAAAAUAAAGUAUAUAAUAUGAGACAAACAUUUAGAACCCAAUAUUUAAUCUAAUUAUUUCUAUGAAUACCCGUUAUUUAUUCGGAUCAAAAAUAAACCUAAUGUUAUAUUUUUAUGCAAUUUAUAUUUUUAUCGUAUACUUUUCUACUAUCCCAAUUUAAUAUUUACAAAAAUUUAAAAGAGAAAAGUGGAUACAAGUUAGUGUUUUUCAUGGAAACAUUAAAAUUGGAGAGUAUAUUUGGGUGUGUGAGUUAAGUUGAAGCUUUUAAACGUAGCGGUAUUUUUGUUAGGUUCUUAAAUUAAUAUUGGUGAGGUUUCAGUUUAAUGUUUUGAAUUGAAAGGUAAUAUUGCUUAGGUUGUCUGUGUUUGGUUGGAUCUAUUCACAGUCGGCAUAUUGAGUAUCAAUUGGUAAAUUUAUUUUUAAUAUUAAAUCUCUCCACUCUCUAUUUGACAUUUUUAUCAUAAAACCUACUAAGUCAAAACUAAUGCACUUUUUUUUCUAAUGCACUUUUUUUUCUAUCUAUCUGUAUAAAAUAAGUUUAGAUAAUAAAGGUUUAUUUAUUAAAAUGAGAAAUAACAAAGAUCUCAAAAGGUCUAAUAUAAUAUCCAUAAUAGAAUACCACUCACUAUUCUAACAUCAAGAUAUUAAUAAAGUCCACUUAAAUACUUCUCCUUCCUCUCAAAUCAAACAUUACCUUAGUUGUAACUAAUUAUUAGUUUUAUAUAAAAAUAAUAAUAAUAACUUAAAAAGUAAUAUAAUCAAUAAAAUUAAUUACUUGACUUAACUAUUGUAUAUUAUUUAUGAGGGAUGAGUAAAAUCAGGGUUGAUAAAAUAAAGUAAUAUAUGAGACAAACAAAUUUAGAUAUCCAAUAAUUAAUCUAAUUAUUCUCUGAAUACCCGUUUAUAUUCGAUCAAAAAUAAACAUAAUGUUAUAUUUUUAUGCAAUUUUAUUUUAGCGUAUACUUUUCUACUAUCCCAAUUUUAAUAUUUACAAAAAUUUAAAAGAGAAAGUGGAUACAAGUUAGGUGUUUUCAUGGAAACGUUAAAAUUGAGAGUAUAUUUGGUUGUGAGUUAGUUGAAGCUUUUAAACGCUAGCGUAUUUUUUGUAGGUUCUUAAAAUUAAUAUUGGUGAGGUUCAGUUUAAUGUUUUGAAUUGAAAGGUAAUAUGCUUAGGUUGUCUGUGUUUGGUUGAUCUAUCCACAGUGGCAUAUUGAGUAUCAAUUGGUAAAUUUAUUUUAAAUAUAAAUCUCUCCACUCUCUAUUUGACAUUUUUAUCAUAAAACCUACUAAGUCAAAACAAUGCACAUUUUUUCUAAUGCACUUUUUUUCUAUCUACUGUAUAAAAUAAGUUUAGAUAAUAAAUGUUUAUUAUAUUAUAAUGAGAAAUAACAAAGAUCUCAAAAGGUCUAAUAUAUAUCCAUAAUAGAAUACCACUCACUAUUCUAACAUCAAGAUAUUAAUAAAGUGCCACUUAAAUACUUCUCCUUCCUCUCAAAUAAACAUUACCUGUUGUAACUAAUUAUAUUUUAUAUAAUAAAUAAUAAUUAAUAUUAAAAAGUAAUAUAAUCAAUAGAAUUAAUUACUUGACUUACUAUGUAAUAUAUUUAUGAAAGGAUGAGUAAAAUCAGGCGUUGAUAAAAUAAAGUAUAUAUAUGAGACAAACAAAUUUAGAUAUCCAAUAUUAAUCUAAUUAUUUCUCGAAUACCCGUUAUAUUUCGGAUCAAAAAAUAAACAUAAUGUUAUAUUUUAUGCAUUUAUAUUUUAUGCGUAUACUUUUCUACUAUCCCAAUUUAAAUAUUACAAAAAUUUAAAAGAGAAAGUGGAUACAAGUUAGGUGUUUUCAUGGAAACAAAAUUGGGAGUAUAUUUGGGUUGUGAGUUAAGUUGAAGCUUUUAAACGCUAGCGGUAUUUUUGUGAGGUUCAGUUUAAUGUUUUGAAUUGAAAGGUAAUAUUGCUUAGGUUGUCUGUGUUGGUUGGAUCUAUCCACAGUCGGCAUAUUGAGUAUCAAUUGGUAAAUUAUUUUUAAUAAAUCUCUCCACUCUCUAUUUGACAUUUUAUCAUAAAACCUACUAAGUCAAAACUAAUGCACAUUUUUUUCUAAUGCACUUUUUUUUUCUAUUCUACUGUAUAAAAAUAAGUUUAGAUAAUAAAUGUUUUAUUAUAUUAUAAUGAGAAAUAACAAAGAUCUCAAAAGGUCUAAUAUAUAUCCAUAAUAGAAUACCACUCACUAUUCUAACAUCAAGAUAUAAUAAAGUCCACUAAAAUACUUUCCUUCCUCUCAAAUUAACAUUACUUAGUUGUAACUAAUUAUUAUUUAUAUAAUAAAUAAUAAUUAAUAACUUAAAAAUAAUAUAAUCAAUAGAAUAUUACUUGACUUAAAUUGUAUAUUAUUUAUGGAAGGAGACUAAAAUCAGGCCGUUGAUAAAAUAAAGUAUAUAUAUGAGACAAACAAUUAUAGAUACCAAUAUUAAUCUAAUUAUUUCUAUGAAUACCCGUAUUUAUCGGAUCAAAAUAAACCUAAUGUUAUAUUUUUAUGCAAUUUAUAUGUUACGUAUACUUUCUACUAUCCCAAUUUUAAUAUUUACAAAAAUUUAAAAGAGAAAGUGGAUAAGUUAGUGUUUUCAUGGAAACAUUAAAAUUGGAGAGUAUAUUUGGGUGUGAGUUAAGUUGAAGCUUAAACCUAGCGUAUUUUGUUUAGGUCUUUAAAUUUAAUAUUGGUGAGGUUCAGUUUAAUGUUUUGAAUUGAAAUAAUAUUGCUUAGGUUGUCUGUGUUUGGUUGGAUCUAUUCACAGUCGGCAUAUUGAG
rnacentral:lncRNA from 1 species